GUGGACCCCGGAGGGUCCGAACUGUCUCAGCGGAGAAAGGGGACAUAGUGUGCUGGCGGGCGCUGGCUGUUGGCGUUAGAGCUCCGGCUGUGGCUCAGUCUGGGGCGCGGUUCUUGCCAACACACCAUGUCCAGAGACAGCUGACAAAAAAACUAAAUUGAAACCAGCUCUGGAUGGGAUAACAACACAGGGUCAUACUUACUUUACGGCAGGCACGUUAUUCGCUUUCUUACUCGCACUUACCGCUAUGGAUUCGCUCUUCAGGGGGCACUGAGACAUCCUACAGUGCCCUGGACGGCCCACCCCAACCAUGGUAUCCGUUGUCCAACAGUUUUGGAUACCCCAGAAUCGUCUCCCCGUUCCCCCUCUACAGCAUGGUGCACUACCCCUUCCUUACCUUAAUGAUCUACUCUUCCAUAGCGAAAUGAGAAUACUAAGCCAAGUGGAAUUUCAUUUCUACGUUAUAAAAGAAAAGUGCCUUUGUUGCGUCUGUCAGAUCGCCGGACUGGAAUGCUUCGACGACGGCUCCCCUGGAUAGCAAGACAAUUUGGUAGCGGAGGUGCCCUGGAUUUCCCUUUUUAUGUUCUUGGUAAGUAUGUAUAGGUAGUUCGUGUAAUGUCUUACCCUCAAUAAAAAUAUAUAAUUUCUUGUUUUUCUUUUUUUUUCUUUUAGCCAACCUGCAGGGACAACAUUAAACGACCAAAGGGUCUUUUAUUUAAAGUGUAUUCCUAGUGCCCUAGAAUGAGCUCACCCUACUUCCUAGGUUGUAUCGUCCGUUCAAUCACCGGACUGCAGAUAUGAAACCCAAUGUCUACCCUGUUUGCUGCCUAAGUUAUUCUGUUUUCUUUUUUUUUUUUAUUUCUUAUAUUUUUAUUCCAGGAUGUGUGUCAAGCUAAGUUUCUCUGUGUAUCGUUCUAAGUAUUGAACAUAUAAAAAGGAGCAUACAUCGGCCUACCUUGGCACCUACGGGCUGCUGGUGCAAAAUUCCCUCGGGGACACUGGAGCAGAUGGCGGCGGUGGAACCAAUGAUGAAGCUGGAGAUGCUGAUGAGAUGAUGAUGUUGUUGAGGAUGGAAAUGUUGACGUUGCCGUGGAUGACGAUGGUUAAAAUUGCAGUAGAGGUGGGUAUUUAUUAUUUGACAAAAAGUUUUUGUUGUUCUGUUUAGUCUUUGCUAUGUUUUAUUCGUGGCUCAAAUUAACGUUCUUUUUCAAAGCUUUUUAUAUUUCACAGGAUCUUUUUUCUUUAGCAUUAAUUAGCACUAAUAAGUUUAUUUAGCUUUAAGUUGAUCUAAAGUAACUUCAGCUUUUUUACUACAAAAGCUAGUCUUUAUUCCUUUCACAAAAAAAGGAACAUUUAUUUGCUUUUAAAUAAAAAACUUUAUGCCUUUGGCAUCACAUAUUC